GUUCUCCAGGAGACGACUUAUUAUGAACAGUAAAAUCUUUCAUCUAAAAGGAAACAUAUAUGCAGUUUGGAGGUAAUUGACAGUUCCUGAUACGCACAGAGGUGUCAGCAGAGAGCACUGUGGUCAGACAGAAAAGAACAACUCAACUUCCUGUGAAGCAUACAGCAGCUGAUAAGUACCAUAAGGAUUAAUAUUUUUAAAUAGAAGUAAUUUACAAAUCUGUUUAACUUAGUGGUACCAGUUGAUUAUACAAAAUUUGUUUUCUACCGACGUACCCCUUUAAACUGUCAGAAUAGUCUGUCAAAAUUUGUGGGCUCUGCCAACAAUAUUUUAUGUCUUUGCCCCCCUUCACAGAUGAUGACAAGGCAAAAAUAAAACAUUAUAUAAUACCACAGGUACCUCAGAUCUUGGACACACAGUAGAACCUGUCAUCAAUAGAAAACCCCAUUGCUCAGGUGAAGUUCAAGCCUGCCGUGUGGCAGGGGGCAUUGUUAUAUAGAAGAGAAAUGGUACCAUAUUUGCCAAAAUAUUUAGGUAGAUGGCGCUUGUACAAAAAAAAGAAAACAUCCACAACAAUACUGUCAGGACACAAGGUUGCCCAGCAGAAUGUUGCUCUGGACAUUACACUGCAUCAACUGGCUUGCCUCCUUCCCGAAGGGCAUCCUGGUGCCAUCUCUCCCUAAAGAAGUCAUCCUUUGACAAAAGUGCUGUGCUGUUCUGAGAAUGGAGUCUUUCCCCCAUGGAUUCAUGUUGCAUGUUGGCAGUGGCUGUCUGGAUCAUGUUCAUGACAAGGUCUUUUUCUGCAGGAUAUAAGAAAA